GGGAGGUAGUGACAAUAAAUAACAAUACAGGGUUCUUUCGGAUCUUGUAAUUGGAAUGAGUACAAUUUAAAUCUCUUAACGAGGAACAAUUGGAGGGCAAGUCUGGUGCCAGCAGCCGCGGUAAUUCAGCUCCAAUAGCGUAUAUUAAAGUUGUUGCAGUUAAAAAGCUCGUAGUUGAAUUUCGGGAUCAAUAUGUCGGUCGUACCUUUGGUACGUACUGGCAUCAUUGGUUUCUCCCUUCUGACAAACCAUGAUGUCAUUAAUUUGGUGUUAUGGGGAGUUAGGACUGUUACUUUGAAAAAUUAGAGUGUUUAAAGCAGGCAUUAGCUUGAAUACAUUAGCAUGGAAUAAUGAAAUAGGACGUUUGACCCUAUUUUGUUGGUUUCUAGGAUCGACGUAAUGAUUAAUAGGAUAGUUGGG
rnacentral:rRNA from 1 species